rnacentral:rRNA from 1 species
AUUGAACGCUGGCGGCAGGCCUAACACAUGCAAGUCGAGCGGAUGAAGGGAGCUUGCUCCUGGAUUCAGCGGCGGACGGGUGAGUAAUGCCUAGGAAUCUGCCUGGUAGUGGGGGAUAACGUCCGGAAACGGGCGCUAAUCCCGCAUACGUCCUGAGGGAGAAAGUGGGGGAUCUUCGGACAUCACGCUAUCAGAUGAGCCUAGGUCGGAUUAGCUAGUUGGUGGGGUAAAGGCCUACCAAGGCGACGAUCCGUAACUGGUCUGAGAGGAUGAUCAGUCACACUGGAACUGAGACACGGUCCAGACUCCUACGGGAGGCAGCAGUGGGGAAUAUUGGACAAUGGGCGAAAGCCUGAUCCAGCCAUGCCGCGUGUGUGAAGAAGGUCUUCGGAUUGUAAAGCACUUUAAGUUGGGAGGAAGGGCAGUAAGUUAAUACCUUGCUGUUUUGACGUUACCAACAGAAUAAGCACCGGCUAACUUCGUG